GUCCACGCCCUAAACGAUGUCGACUGGUUGUUGGGGGUUUGACACUCUCAGUAACGAAGCUAACGCGUGAAGUCGACCGCCUGGGGAGUACGGCCGCAAGGUUAAAACUCAAAGGAAUUGACGGGGACCCGCACAAGCGGUGGAUUAUGUGGAUUAAUUCGAUGCAACGCGAAAAACCUUACCUACCCUUGACAUGUCCUGGAGGCCCUCGAGAGGGGGCUGUGCCCGAAAGGGAACGGGAACACAGGUGCUGCAUGGCUGUCGU
rnacentral:rRNA from 1 species